rnacentral:misc_RNA from 1 species
AAGUCGUAACAAGGUCUCCGUUGGUGAACCAGCGGAGGGAUCAUUACUGAGUUUUUUAAACUCCCAAACCCUUGAGAACAUACCUCGGUUGCCUCGGCGGAAGCGUCGCCCUGGGAUGGCCUACCCUGUAGCGUCUUACCCUGGGCGGCGCCCCCCGCCGGUGGUCUUCUAAACUCUGUUUUACUGUGUCACUUCUGAGGAUUAUUAUAAAAUUAGUUAAAACUUUCAACAACGGAUCUCUUGGUUCUG